GGGGGGGGGGAGAAACUCUUUGGAUCUUUAUUCUGCUAAUUAGUUUCCUGCAAAAAAUGGCUGAUUAGUGCAGUGCGCAUGUGCCUCAUUACCCAGGCACGACGGGAAGGGCUAAUUAGCCACCUUCUGGAUCAAUGCGAGCGAGCCCGCCCGCGCGGGGGGAGGGGGCGGCGGCGGCGGCGGGCGGAGCCCAAACUUGGGGCGGCCCCGCCGGGGGGAGCCGGCACCUGCCCCCGCCGGCCGCCCGCCUCCCUCCCUCCCUCCCGGACCCUUCCCCUUCCCCUUCCCCUUCCCCUUCCUCCACGGCCCCGGCCCGCCGCCGCCGCCUCCACCUGCGCCCGGGAAAGUUGCGCGGCUCGGCUCGGCUCGGCACGGCGCGCCUUUGUCAGGCCGCACAAUGGGCCGCCCCUUCCCUUCCCUUCCCUUCCCUUCCCUUCCCUUCUCCGCGGUGUCGGGGCCCUGGCCGGGGCGGCGGCGUGUGUCGGGCCAGCUAACGCGGGUGUUUCCCGUCCUAGGUGCGCGGGCGCGGAGCAGGCGGUGAGGAGCGCAGCGUAAGUGACACUGCUGCGGCGGUGACCCCGACCCGACCCGACCCGCGGCCCCGGGAAACUCAACUUGUCUGGUUUUUAAUUUACACCCCCCGCCCGGCGCUGCCUCCGGCCAGGGGCACCCGGGGGGAGCUGCGCGCUGGGCCGAGGGAGGGAGGGAGGGACUGCCUGCUCCGGCUCGGGCUCGGGCUCGGGCUCGGGCUCGGGCUCCCUCGCCUUGCAGGAUGUUCCCCCUGGAGUGGGCCGGCGCGGGGGAUGGGCUCUGCCUGCUUACACACGCGCGUGCGGGUCAGGAGGAGCGAGCGAGCGCGCGCGGUGCCGGGCACGCUGCCCCCAGCCCCUCUGCAGCAGGCUCGGCCCCGCGCCGCUGCCCCGGCUCCCCGUGACCGCGACGUGUGGACUCUGUAAAUGCAAACACGCGGGAGCGCGUCUGCCUGGGUAGUUCACACCAACCAAACGUGGCCCGCGGCUCCUGCGGUCUUGUCCUUGUCUCUGGGCUCAGAGUGACCGGAAAAGGCGGAGGGCGGCUGCAGCUCCUGGGGUCAGAGGCGCUACCGCGGCCCACCCUCCCCGCGGCAGCCCCCGGGGUCGGCAGCAAGGCCAGGGCGAGGAGCCGCGCUCUCGCUCGUCGCCCUUCCCACGGCCGCAGGCAGCCAGCCCUGCGCCGGGGUCAAGCCGCAGGACACCUUUCUUCUGCCGCGGCUCGGGGCAGAACGCGAGGGGAAGAGCGCUGCAGAAGUUGGCGGAGGAGAGGAGACAGAUUUGUCCCUCGCCCUGGUGACAGGCGAGUAUUAAUUGGGGGGGGGGGCAGGGAGAGGACUUCCCACUCCUGUUCGGUGCGGAGGGGCAGGGGCAGGGGCUGGAGCCUGCCGGGCGAGCCGAACUGCCCCGUAGCCGUCCCGCUGCACGAACGCUGAAACCGGGGGAUGAGACGGUUGCAGAGAGUGGUGACAAACAGCAGACAGCGCGUGCUGCGUGAAUAGGCGUGCGUUAGCUCUAGCUGCUGCCUAGGAAAAAUUCGGCUGUCCUGGAAAGAGUGAUUGUGCUGUGGGGGGGGGGCAACUUUCCAUUAUUAAAGUGUAAAAAAAAAAGAGGAAAUUUUAAUCCUGUUUAAGUGGAAAUCUCAACUAUGCAUCACCGUGGCUGUCUCCAUUUUAUUUAUAUGCUCGCACACACCUUUAUGAAUAUCCAGUAUCUUUUGUGUGGGUAUCUUGAAUGUGCUUAACGGCAGAGAGGGGAGGGCUCCAGCCCCUAGCACGCCUUGACAAGAACGUAGGUAUUUUCAUCUAGCGAGAGCCGUCCGAACACUUCGGUCACUGCAUCAAGUAUGCGACACAUUUCACCUUUGUCUGGUCUCGGAUGCAUGCGUUCACAAUUGCACCGUUGCACGGGUGGAGCAAACGCUGGAUAGAGCGUUAGACAACUUGAGACUGAACUUACUUAGCGAGGUAACUUCUCUUUAACAAGCUGGUAAAGACGAGAGUUAGAGACGACCAGGCUGCAAGGUCCUUCCUUGUGCGACGAGGAGCACGUAGGUCUCCACGUGCGCUGGGGUGCACGAGUCCAGGUUCCCUUCAUCCUGCAGGAGCAUACAGUCCCCCUGGACUGGAAAGAGUCUGGCUGUCCAGCAGUUCAGGAUGAAAAAGCUUUCCCCAAAACCCGAGCGGGAUGAAGGGCGAGGAACGGCCCCUGAAUUCAAUGGGCCACGCACCAAAUUAACUGCAGACCCCCCAUCAGCAGACCCGGAAAUGCCACUUGGAGUUAAGAUCCAAGGGACAUACCGGCCGCUGAUGCGGGGGACCGGGACGGGAACACGGUGCCCGUGUAUCGGGGGGAAUUCCAGGCUGGUUUUUAACCUCUGUCUUAAGAAGGACAAUAAACAACUGUAAAACAUACCGCUGUUUAGAAAGAGCUUGGAUCGGAACUGUUGGUAUCGUUUUCUGCUUCUUGGAAAUAUGUCUAGGGAAUUAAAACAAAACAUGAAGGGCCAGAGUCCUUGAAGCAGCUCCAAACGAUAAAGUCUGCCAUUCAUGUUAAACACAGUGUGCAUUGUGAAAAGACAGGUCAAUUUGAAGGCAUUUGUCAGAUUUCCAGUUCCCUCUGCUCUUGCAGUGAAAUCUGGGAUCAAACCUUGGUACUCGAGUUGGAAAGGGUCUGCGGUUUUCUCAGCAUUUAUUACUUCAGUUUACCUGCACAAGGCUCGGAUUGUAUUUUUAUUGAGAAAGUUUGUUUACACCCAGCUGGAUGGGGCACGGGGGGGGGGUAACAGCAAACCUCAGAGCUGGUGCCUUAAUUUAAGGGUUCGAAAAGAUACAAGCAGCGCAGAGGAUCGGAAGCAACCGACCCGACUGCAAAAGAGCUAAGUGAGGGGCAAAGGCGAUCUGGUACGUGGCGCCCAUUUAAACACGCCUAGCCAGCGGCACGGGAAGAGAGACGCCAACGGCAGCACGUCCCUCGUGGAGAUGCAGAAUUUCAGCAGGGCCGACGAGCAGAGGGCUGGAGAGGCGUGCUGCUGAGCAGCCCCAGACAGAUGUGCGAGCGUCUUCUGGAGGCCUGUGCGCGUUGUGUCAUGGGCGCCGCUAAGAAACGUGCAUGCUAGAGGGAUGGCUGGGUGCAUUUCUUGAGAAGAGACGUGGCGUAAGAUUUGCAAGAGGAUCUGAAGUAAAGAAAACCAGGGAGCUGUGUGAUCUCUCCCGGGUUCUCAUGCAUCUCUAUCUCUCUCGCUCUCUUUUUUUUAAAUUCAGUAACAUCUUUUUAAAAAUGGAUGUCCGAAUCUUUCUUUUCUUUUUUUAGACCACUGGAUGAUCUGAGCCGUUAGGUACGAGGGGACAUGGCUGGGCUGGUCCAGCAGCCUCACCCUCCCGGGUCUGUCACUGCAUGGAUAGGGCUUAGGGCUCUGGCAUAUUUCUAAGACAACCGCUUUCCUAUUUUGCAGGCCUUAAUUCAAGGUCUGUCAGACUUCCCUGCAAGGGGAACAAUGAACGCUUCCUACGUAGCUAUAUACCCAACUCUAAUUUAAAAGGAAAAUAAGGAAAAAGUCUUGGCAUUUAAUUCGGACGCGCUAACCGGAUAAAUCCUGAGCAUUGUGGCUUUGUGACCUGGGGUUUCUGCUCAAAAUACUCUAUGGAUGUAUCUUACAGCUGCACUUCUUUAUGCCUGUUUCACCUCGUGCCUACUGUGUUGUCACCAAGAUCAGAAAUUAAUAAACAUUUUUUAAACCACUGUCAUGUUCCAUUUCCUCUCUCUCAAAUACAAAAACCUCAAUAAAACUCAAACGUAUUGGAACAACCUUAAAAGGAAAAGCACAGAUUUAAUUACAAACUAACAGAAUUACAAAAAGCAUUGCUUAAUUUAUUUAUUUUGGGGGGGAGAGAGUUUGUUUUCAAGCCUCUUUUGCAACAUAGCCUCCUAAAAAAUUCAGCAUGAAUGUAUCAGAUGCAGUAAAAUAUUGUGCAUCUUUUCAGUGCAGGAAGGGCCUUUCCAGCUAUGAGCCCUUAAGAAGGAGGGACUCUUAUUCACAAUCCACAGAAACUUCCCCAAAUACACGCCAGGAACAAGUUCACAGCCUUCCAAAUCUUUAAAGGGAACGUCUUCAAAGGCUUGCAAUGGGAGUCAGGCGCCUAGCUGGCCUUUCUGCCUUUGAAAGUCUUCCCUCCUAGAUUUGUUUCAGAAUUGAGAUGGAGACGGAGGGAGGGAGCAUGCGCACGACUGAGUCAUUCUUCUCUACCUUAGCCACCUGCGCAGGCCCUUCCGGCUUCACAGCAACCUUGUUCCCCAAACUGAAGUUAGAAACCGGUGAGAAACCAACCUGCUGUGAUGGAUGGCGACAAAGUACAUCUGCAUCCCCUUGAAUUAAAUUACAUUCAUCUCCUCUUUUUACUUAAAAAAAAAAAAAUCAUCUAAGGGCACAAAUUAUAAUUGCAAAAAAAAAGUCUGGGAAAAAGGCGCGCUCCCAAAGACGGGCUUUUCUUUUUACAAAUUCCCACACGUGCGCGCGUUGUGAAAUGUAUCAGACGAGACAUUUCAAAGAAUUGCACCGUGGCAUGCUUCCGAAUAGUGCCCAUCUUGAACGUACGCAUAUUUGACGUUUGUAAGUCUCCUAUGUGAGACAUGCUUAUUUGAAGACGGGAUGCGGCGUGGGACUUCAAUCAGCGACGUACCCUGCAGCUAACCCUGACCCUCCCCUAUUAGCCAGUAUCACCGCUUUGAUUUGUGCCCGCUAUGGGAACUGAACACCAGGGAGCUACACACACUGCGGAGGGAGGGAGGGAGGGAGGGAGGGUCCUGCUCCUCCCUUACCAAUUGUUCGGAUCAGCAAAACGCUCCUUAAAACAGCUCGGCACCCAGACUGAAGAGGAUGGAUGGGAUGCAAAUGCAUGGCAGGUCUGAAAGGAAGUGCCUCACUUAAGGGACUCCCUUCUCAGCACCCAGGUCAGCCCAGGAAUUCCUCCUUUUCUCCUCAGUUCACAUUUCCUUCGCUGCCCCCCCCCCCUUUUAUUGGACCACGUAUGCUGGGAUGCGUGCGUUUCCCAUCAGUCCUGAAGUGUUUUACAGAUGGAGACUAUUUGGGGGCACAUCGAGUCUGUCCGUUUGCAGCAGCAGGGUCUGACGUCUUUCUAAUAUUUCAAAUGUUGCCGUAACCUCACGUUUUGCUUAGCUCUUCUGUGCUAGAGAGGGGGAAGAACCGAGCCCCAUUUUAGAUCGUUUCCUGAAAAGCCAUUUCUGCUUUUUUUUACCUCUUUCUUCUCUCCCCCUCCCCUGAAAAAAAAGCUGCGACAGGUAUCUGCUGCAGGUCAUUUCAGAGUCGUCUAAUCCGGGAUCUGGACGGUGAAGGACCGAUUAAAAAAAAGAAGGGAAAAGUCCAACCACUGGAUUCAAACUGUAAGCCUAAGUUCGGGUCAAAGGUCACGUUUCCCAACUGGAGGUCUUGCAAAGUGUUUGCUCUGUGAGCUGCAGCGGCACCAGAGCCCCUCCGCAUAGUCCAGCAGUGCAGAUGCCAGGGCAUCUCGGUGUUGUUAGAAAGAAACCUGUCCUUGCUAUGAAAAGGCCUAGAGGUGAAUGCUGAAGCGGGUUUUUUUUAAUUUUCAGGAAAGGAAAGGAAAGGAAAGGGGAAAGCGGGUGGGCUUGCAGGGAGCCCUCCUCCCAGAGCCGGGAGAGGCUGUGCCGCAGGAAAGUAUUGCUCAUAAUGACACUUCAGCCCAGACACUUGAAUGCUAAAGGUUAAACUUACAUUCUUCAAGAAAGGGCUCUUUGCCAACUUGAACUGUGUUGUGUGCGCACUACAGUCUCCCCCUCCGCCCCCGAUCUGUCUACAGGAAUCCCACAUUUGGGAUCCGGAGAAAUAACCAACAACUAUUUAUGAGCAUGUACUUCCCAUGCUAGCGCUCCAGCCUGUCGGGGUAAAACCAGUCUGAGGUUCGGGUACCAAAAUUAGUCAUUUCUGCCAGCUAAAAGCAAUCGCACACGAAGUCUAAAAGGGACAGCUGUCAUUAUAUGUCGUGUCCUCCUGUGAAAUACAGGCCACGGGAUUCCACCUCAUAAUUCCUGCAUCGAGCCCAAUCGCUUGUGGCCUUAUUUCCAGUCUGUAUCUUCUAGUUAGCACUGACUGGAGGCAGAAAUGGGAAGCCUUAGAUAAAACGGAUUGACAACAAAAGAAGAAACAGACUCCGGAGGCAUCAAAAUAAUCAAACCAAGCGGUGAAACUAUAGGUAAGACUUCUGGCAGUUCGGGUUAGGAAUGAUGUAGGGAAAAUGCUGCUAACUACCCACAUCAGCCACGCAGGGCAACAUUCGAGGACAAACUUUGGCAUAGUUUAGAAAGCUGCGCCUGCACGCAGGUGGGUCUGUACUAUCAGGGAGGGCUCGCACCCCCUGCACUUCGACUCCUUGCCCCCAGCAGCAUUUUCCACCAAGGAAAUGGACAUAACGGGACAAUUCGCUAUGCUCUCCAAAGCGUCCUUCUUGCACAGCGUCACGUGACACUUGCUAAGGCGAGGCGGUCAUUGGUGGCAGCGGGAAGAAAGGCUUUAACUCCUCGCAAGCAGCGGAGAAGAGGCCCGGGCUGGAAGGAUGAAGCGAGCAGGCUGAGCAGGGGGUACAGCAGGGCCAGGCAGUGUGGCGGAGACCAGGAAGCAAUUGUCGUUUGGAUUCAGGUUUUGCUGGGAAGGAAGGACUGUAAGGCAGGAUUGGGGCAGUAUUUUUCUAUGUCCUGCAGCUAUCGGGGUUUUUCUAGCAUUCUGCCUCCCUUUAGACAGUCGUCGACUGGAGGGUGUUUCUUGGCACGGUCCCACCACUCCUGCCGUUUGGUCCCUGGGGAAGUUCACGCUUUUUAAUAUCUCGGAUCAAUUCUGCAAGGGCUGGUGCUAGUCGGCAAUCAGAGAGGAAGCAGUGACUCAGCACAGCCGUAACCAACACUGACACAAGUAGGGGAAGAAAGAUAAAGUCCUGUCAAACACGAAUUAAGGACAAACCGGUCGGCCAAGCACUCCCCCCUUACCCCACCCAUUUGCACUGUACUGCCUUGCCGGCCAAGGGCCAAAUGUGCAAAGGUGUUCAGGCAAAAUCCGGCACCCAAAAACCUUGGUGGAAAAGGACCUAAGCCUGCUGUAGGGGCUGGAUACCUUUUUCUGAAGCAUCAAGCAUGAACUUGUGCCAGAGGCAGAAGUCGACCCACGGCUCUGCUGCGGCGUGGGAAAACCUGUCUGCCUGCGAGAGAGAGAGAGGACAGGGAAGCAGGAACCGACGCUCUCCCGUUGGCCUGCUUUUGAAUAGAACAGGUAGAUUUCCACUGGAUUCCUCGGUGAAAGGUUUUUCCCAAGGGGAAGGAAGAAAGUCCACGUCCCUUUCCGUUCAGAAAUGCCGGUGCUAGCUCGUGCUUGCACUGGCAGGAUGAGGCCCAGGUCCGUGCCGAGGACUGCCCUUAAGAAAUCCGUAGAGCGAGGGGAGCGGAUGACCUGUUCGGAGCCCUGCCUCCCUCCCUUUCCUCUCCGUGUUUCGCAGGGAGCUCGCUCUGAACGGAGCCUGCACGGAUAAGCGUGUCAGAGCUGAGGACCGACGGAGGCAGACACAGAGGGUUUGCUGAAAGGCUUGUUAAGGAAGCACCACUGACCAUGCAAUCCAAUUACACAAUGCUUCGAAAAAUAACCGUACUAAGAUCUGGGAAGCGCGUCUGAGUGAUGCAUGCGAUGCGUUUCAGCAGCAGGGAGAGGUAUCAAGUAUCCAUCUUUCAACCCAAAGGCUGAUAAUAUAUUUAUGCCACGAUCUGACACUCGGCUUCAGCUAUAAACUGCUCCAAAGGGGAAACUUGCUCCGAGGGGGAAGUGUCUGCGGUUCCCUUUCGAGGCAGUGCUGCACCCUGCAGUCCAACUUUAUUUGAGUCCUUGUAAAAUUACCACUCGCAGAAUACAAAGCAUGUAAGGGGCACAGCCGCUUUGUUUUGUGGGACCUUGCGUUGGGCAAAAGGAAGGGCCGGGUAGAGAGCAAGGGACCUGGGCACCAGUGCUGGCCCUCUCUACUUCCCCCAGCUCUCUGUUCCUUCAGUUUUCCUCCAACGCUUCAAAAUGGCUCACUUACAAUCGCCGUGCAAUAUGCGUACAAACCCUGAACGCGCGAAGCAGAUACAGCUCCUUGCCCCGGGUGGGUGUCUCCAAUUUAACGGCGCAAUCCGGCAAAGGACCGAGCAUCUUCUUCUCCCCCAGAAAUCAAUGUGAACUAGAGGCAAGGUUUUCAACUGAACAGAGGGUGCAGUAGUCCAAGCAGGGUCUAGAGGACGGCCGAAGAUUCGACGCCGCCGUCUCCAAACAAUGCAGCCAGCUCUUGCUAUUAAUUUCAAUAGCAGAUUACUGCAGAAAAGGCUUCGGAGGAGAGGUAGGUUUCAAGGAGGGAUCUGCGUGGCGAGAGGGAGGUAAACGGCAGGGUGGGGACUAUUUCUAGGGUUUCCCAGAGCUUUAUAUGCACAAUCUGCUAUGUAUGGCCUCAUUUGCCAGAUACGCGUCUCCUGAAAGUACUUAAAAUCCAUGUUUGACGGCAAGUGAUUUCCUUCUACUUUACCAAACCCCCUCGGCAGUUGGGAUCUUUCUACCGCGUGCCCUUAAAGUUUACAUCUUUCUGCUCACUGCCUGGAAGGAAACACAGUCCUCCUCCGGCCCCGAGCCCCCUGGUCCUGCAGCCGCUCUCCGCGGGGCAGCAACCCAGCCACCAGAAGAGGGGCUGAAAGGGAUGCUGUGACCGGGGCCUUGCAAAGGAACAGAAUCACUCUCCUUGAUUUGCCAGUGCUUUCAAAUCAACGUGACAUGACAUGUUGGGGCCUGUAAUUUAAUCUGGCAGCCGCGGUUUUGUCGUCCGUGUUGCGUUUCGGGCCAGGCUGUCUGAGCCGCGGGAAGCGGCCUGCUGCGUGGGAUGCAGCGGUGAGGAAAGGGUGAAGCCCAAGCUCCUCGGCCCUGCUCUCCACGCAAUACGCUGCCUUCCUCCCGGCUAUUUCUAGACUGUUUACCUGGCAAGCACCACAUGACCAGUCCGCAAGGAAAUGCUGACAUCACUGCGUCUCUCGCGUGUGCUCCCUCCCUCCGCUCGCUCGCUCGCUCGCUCGCACGCUCACACGUCCCCGCACUCCUCCUCUCCCACCCUGCCCCACGCCUGCCGAGCCUCCCUCUCCCUUCUCUGCGUUCGCCAUCUGGCCGGUCCCCUCUCCCUGCACACUGGCUCGCAUCAGGACACCCUCCCUACUGCCCUAUUGCCAAGAGCCGCAGGAGCGUGGGAAGAAGCCCGUCCGUGUAAGACCGCGAAGCCCCCCGUUUUCCUAGCAGGAAGCGAGGCCGGCCCCCCAAGUCGAACCAGACCCCCCGCAGGGCCCGGGAAGGCGGGUGGAGAAGGACAGACACACCAGCGUUUCGUUUCUGCGCGCAGUGGGUUUAAGAGCGUGCCUUCUCUCUGCAGGGACCUUCCCAUGAAACCCCCUUCGUAGCUUCUGAGCCCCCCGCUCUUCCUCCGCGCCAGCAUGGAAGCUCGCCGCGCUGGGUAGGCCUCCCUGCCUCUCCGCCAGGUGGGCGCAGGCACCCACACGAGUGUGCGAGGCACGCCUGGCUCACCCUCGUCUCUUCCCCAAACGCGCCCGGAGGGUCACGUGCCGCAGGGAGUCGAGGGGACCUCCGUGGGACGCCCCGGGGAGGCGCUCCCGCCGCAGAAAGGUGGAGAGACGGUGUCCCUGGAAACUGCCUCCCGAGCCCGAGCAAGGCAGCGAGGCCAGGGGCUGCGAGACCAGGGGGAUCAAAGGGAGCUGCUGCACGGGCUGGAGGACAGCGCUCAGCCCCUAACCUCGCUCUGCCCUAACAACUGCCAUCCGGAGGGGUCAUAAACUGUUGGGGGAAAGGCAGCCCAUUAGUGAGUCUAUUAAGUCUCCAUUAGUUAGGUGUGAACUCAUUACCCUAACACACUUGGAGGUGGGAUUCCACUUGUAGGACAUUAGCACUUUAAUAGGCACAUUUACCACUUUGCACCGGACGGAGAGAGGAGAAACACCUUCAAGUUUCAAAGCAGCCGUGUGCCUUUCGCCCGGAGCCAGGCACACGGGGGUGCCGAGGCUGGCGCUCGCUCCCCCGGGCCCUUUCCCGCAAGGGGCCCCAGCCACGAUUCCUGCGACCCCCGGAGCAAUCAACAGCCACAAAACCCUGCAAACUCUUCCUCGGACCCACGUCUUCUGCAAUACCGAGGAAAUAGCCAACUAAGUUCCUGCCUCUCUAUUUUGUUAACUUAUCUUGCGAUUCAACCUGGUCGUUGGCAGGGAGGCAGGGCGCUGCAGGGGAUGGGGAUGGGGAUGGGGAUGGGAGCGAGGCGGAGGGGGGCAGGUGGUGCUGGUGCACCAGGGCGGCGGGGAGCCGGCUCUGGCAGAUUGGGAGGCAGUUUAGGUUGCUCAAUUUAGAAGUGUUCCCCAGAAAAGCUUACUAUGGGAUUAAUAAUCUCCUGUCCUCUGAUGCCUUUGCUUGACUCCUGUAUUGCUUUCUGCCUUUCUUUGUCUGACUCUCUUUCCAGUCGUGCUGGAGGGAUGGUGUAGCUGGAAUGGGCCAGGGUGUGCCCGGGUCUCGGGGAUGAGGCAUGCACAGCAUUCGACAUCGUGUACAGUCCUAUCCCAGCCACGCCGCGCUCCGAUCAGAGACGUCAGCCACAAAAUCCUCGCCUUCCUUUUGUACGUUGUUCAGUUUUUGGAGCAGGGACCAUGCCCUCCUCUUUCUGGAAAGUUCUCUUCACAUUUUAGGGAAUAUCUCAAUAUAAAGAAUAAAUCAGAUUAUAUGAAGUUAGUCGAUUAAUGAUGGCUAGGAGUAAGGGGAGAACUGAUUCUUUGUCUACUUACAAAAAUAACAAUACUUUUAGGGGGGAAAAAAAGUGUGUAUUUUAUCUUCCUCCACCCUUAAAACAUCACCCUCCGUGCGUUGGCAGAGGCUGUUCUUUUGUUAGGAUUUGCAAAAGUGCCAGCACGACGGGGGGCUGGAUACUACUUUCACAUUAAUGUGUUAAAGAGUAAUAACCGAUUAGUCAAGUGGCCAGCAAUAAAGGUCUCACUGGUUUGUAAAUCUAAAACCAUUCACACCUGAAAGAGGGAAGUGGCAAUAAAAAAAUGAAGAAGAUACGAAAGGUCGCUGAGAUCCAGUAGAGCAUCCUGUUUUUCAUGGUUAGCCGGAAAGGAUGCUAAAUUCAGUUCUGGCAUUCUCUAUCAAUGGCACGGUCUCCUGUUCAUGUCCUACUACCUUUUCUUUAUGAUGGCCUUUUGGUUUUCUUCUGACCACUGCUGCUCCCGCAGAGAAAGCAAUAACAAUCCCUACCUACCCUGCAGAAGGAAAAAACCACGACGCCCGUUCCCAUCUCGCUGCCAGCUCCGUUGUGUUUGAAAAAGCACGGCCAAGCACAGCUCCUUCCAACCCCGGUGUUGAACGGAGCCGGGCAGGGGCUGGGACCCCGUGCUCGGGAUCCCUUUGCAAAACCUAUUCCAGCACAUACGGGCUUGGUCUCGCAAGCUGCUUCAGAAGAGGGAACGGUCUUGUGUCUUCGGGCUUGUGCCCAAAUCCCAGGAGGAGCGAGGGGCCUGACUUCCGUUCGUUUCGGCAGGAGCGAGGUGCCUACAGACCGUUAAGGACGUGCACGUUGGACCAGGGACUUCUGGCCUCUCUUCCCAGUUGGGCCGCAGACGCAUCGUCCGGCCUGCGGUCCCCAGAUACAAUGCCGACGGGGCAGGGGGAGCCGUAAAACGCCUCUGAACUCCUCCGUGCCUUGGCUUCCUAUCUCUACCACAGGAAAGUUUUCUCUGAGAGGGAGGAGAAGGCAUCGAGAGGCUUAUUUAAAUAACGUUUUCUCAAUUUUGAGGUGCUUACAUCGCGAUGCUCACCCUGCCACGACAGCUAUUGUUGUGCCCCUUUGCUCACUGCCCGAUCACGAUCGCUCCAGACACAGAUACUCUAACAAAUCAAGCCCUUUAACGGCUUCAAACACCUGAGCUUAUAAAAAUAAAUUAACCUACUGAAAACUGUUUUCUCCUCCUCGUCAAGGAUGGUAUUUCCCCCCAAAUUCUCCCUAGCAAAGGCCCAGGCCAGGUGAGUGCCAGCUUUUCGAUGCAUAAAAAUGUGAUGAGGUCAACGUGCAAUAUCCUGCAAGCCUGUCGCAUUAGAAAUGGAGCUUUAUCCCACUGGGAGGGGGAGAUUUGCAGCUUCCCAGUGAGACUCAGCACCUGCUUCUAGCCCCAGAAGACCUUGGCCUAUCUGACUUCACGCCUGUGACAUUUUUAGUUAUGAAAGCCACUUUGUCAUGUAAAGACAUUUUUAUAGGCCCCUCUGCUCUUGUGCAGUUGGACUCAUGGUAACAAAGGCACCUGGCUUUAUAGCAAGAGGGAUGCGAAAAAUCGUCCCAAUAAAAGCUCUAAAACAUUCCUAAAA